rnacentral:lncRNA from 1 species
UAGAUGAGUAGACUAACUGUCCAUUGUAGAAUAAUGAAGACUUUCCCCCUGAUUUGUAGCCCGUGCUAGACUGAACCAAUUGCCAACAUAAAGAAGCCCUGGGAAGAAGAUUUUGAGGACACCAGAUAAGACUUCAAUCUAAGACAGAGGGAUUUGUAUGGAAAUGCUUAGCCUCUUGCCAGAAGGAAAGGAAGUAGAAGUUUAAACAAAUGGAUCUGAAGCCUUUGGAGACGUGACUCCAAAGAACCCACUCACAGCUGAGAAUCAUUAAGAUGGCAUUCAUGUGACUUGAGAUUUUCCAUGUGUGAUGACUGCCUGUUUCAUCAAGUGACGUCGUUAGAGGCUGAAUCUACCUGUGCGCUGCAUGGCUGUGAUUUCACUACAACCAAGCUUUCCCUUGUGUGGGAAGGAAACACUAUGGGGUUGAUGAGCCAGCUUUAUUCUAAAUGACUGAAGACUUCUGUUCUUUUCAACAAACACAGUCCUCCAAUUAGGAGCUGCAAAUAAGAUUAUAUGCCCUGAAUAAGUCUGAAAAGGUCCUUUUAUAAUUACAAAGUUUGUGUGUGGGAAGUGGAAGCAGCAUUAAGUGUUCACUGUGGCUUUAUUAAGAGAGUGACAUGAAGAUUUCCCAAAUCUUCAUCUGAGUACUCUAAAAUGAUAAAAUAAAAAUCAUAGAAAACAGUAUGUAUAUUCCA